rnacentral:rRNA from 1 species
CUUAGGUUCGGAAUAACAGUUAGAAAUGACUGCUAAUACCGGAUAAUGUCUUCGGACCAAAGAUUUAUCGCCUUUGGAUGGGCCCGCGUAAGAUUAGGUAGUUGGUGGGGUAAUGGCCUACCAAGCCGACGAUCUUUAGCUGGUCUGAGAGGAUGAUCAGCCACACUGGGACUGAGACACGGCCCAGACUCCUACGGGAGGCAGCAGUGGGGAAUAUUGGACAAUGGGCGAAAGCCUGAUCCAGCAAUGCCGCGUGAGUGAUGAAGGCCUUAGGGUUGUAAAGCUCUUUUACCAGGGAUGAUAAUGACAGUACCUGGAGAAUAAGCUCCGGCUAACUCCGUGCCAGCAGCCGCGGUAAUACGGAGGGAGCUAGCGUUGUUCGGAAUUACUGGGCGUAAAGCGCACGUAGGCGGCGAUUCAAGUCAGAGGUGAAAGCCCGGGGCUCAACCCCGGA